AAGUCGUAACAAGGUUUCCGUAGGUGAACCUGCGGAAGGAUCAUUAGUGAAUAUUAGCGCAUCUCUUCGGAGAGCGUGACCUCCACUUUCUAACUCUGUGCAUUUAUUUGGCGGCUCUGAAGACGUAACAGUCUACUUAGCUGCGGCUCAUUUUAUAACACUAGUUAAAGUAUGUAACGAAAUAUCGAAACAAAAAAAAACUUUCAACAACGGAUCUCUUGGCUUGCUC
rnacentral:misc_RNA from 1 species